UCGUUUUAACCCAGUUUUCCCGUUUCCACCUGGAUGCAGAUUUUUCUUGAAAUGAUACAUUUAUGGAUGUGAAACUUUUUGAAUCUGCAAAAGAAAAAUACCACGAGCGUUGUCAUCUGGAUGUAGCGUAAAACUUGACCUUAGUGGGACUGAGG